rnacentral:misc_RNA from 1 species
CAGAGUUCAUGCCCUAACGGGUAGAUCUCCCACCCUAUGUUAUUAUAACUUUGUUGCUUUGGCGGGCCGCCUUUUGCUAGGCUACCGGCUUCGGCUGGUGAGCGCCCGCCAGAGGACCCCAAACUCUGAAUAUUAUUGUCGUCUGAGUACUAUAUAAUAGUUA